rnacentral:rRNA from 1 species
AACGGAGAUAUUUAUUUCGGUAGAUAUCUUAGUGGCGCACGGGUGAGUAACGCGUGAAUAACCUGACCCGAAGAGGGGGAUAACACCUGGAAACAAGUGCUAAUACCGCAUAAGACCACGGACCGGCAUCGGUCAGAGGUCAAAGGAGGAAUCCGCUUUGGGAGGGGUUCGCGUCCCAUUAGGUAGUUGGUGAGGUAACGGCCCACCAAGCCGACGAUGGGUAGCCGAGCUGAGAGGCUGAUCGGCCACACUGGAACUGAGACACGGUCCAGACUCCUACGGGAGGCAGCAGUGGGGAAUAUUGGGCAAUGGGCGCAAGCCUGACCCAGCAACGCCGCGUGAGGGAAGAAGGUUUUCGGAUUGUAAACCUCUGUCGCAGGGGACGAAGGAAGUGACGGUACCCUGUAAGAAAGCCCCGGCUAACUACGUGCCAGCAGCCGCGGUAAUACGUAGGGGGCGAGCGUUGUCCGGAAUUACUGGGCGUAAAGGGAGCGUAGGCGGUCGAUUAAGUUAGAUGUGAAACCCCCGGGCUUAACUUGGGGACUGCAUCUAAUACUGGUUGACUUAGAGUACAGGAGAGGGAAGCGGAAUUCCUAGUGUAGCGGUGAAAUGCGUAGAUAUUAGGAGGAACACCAGUGGCGAAGGCGGCUUUCUGGACUGACACUGACGCUGAGGCUCGAAAGCGUGGGGAGCAAACAGGAUUAGAUACCCUGGUAGUCCACGCUGUAAACGAUGAAUACUAGGUGUAGGGGG